rnacentral:tRNA from 4 species
GCCGAGAUAGCUCAGUCGGUAGAGCAUCGGACUGAAAAUCCGAGUGUCCCUGGUUCGAAUCCUGGUCUCGGCACCA